GGCGAACCGUGCGAACGUUGUUCGGAUUCACUGGGCUUAAAGGGCGCGUAGGCGGGCGAGCGAGUCCGGGGUGAAAUCUUUCGGCUUAACCGGAAAAGGGCCUUGGAUACCGCUCGUCUCGAGGGAGGUAGGGGCAGGCGGAACUUCCGGUGGAGCGGUGAAAUGCGUUGAUAUCGGAAGGAACGCCGGUGGCGAAAGCGGCCUGCUGGACCUCUUCUGACGCUGAGGCGCGAAAGCUAGGGGAGCAAACAGG
rnacentral:rRNA from 1 species